UACGGAGGGGGCGAGCGUUAUUCGGAAUUAUUGGGCGUAAAGGGCGCGUAGGCGGCUUGUUAAGUCAAAGGUGAAAUCCCUCGGCUCAACUGAGGAACUGCCUUUGAAACUAGCGAGCUUGAGGCCGGGAGGGGGUAGCGGAAUUCCCAGUGUAGCGGUGAAAUGCGUAGAUACUGGGAGGAACACCAGUGGCGAAGGCGGCUACCUGGACCGGUUCUGACGCUGAGGCGCGAAAGCGUGGGUAGCAAACAGG
rnacentral:rRNA from 1 species